rnacentral:rRNA from 2 species
GGUGACUAUAGCAUCAGGGUUCCACCUCUUCCCAUUCCGAACAGAGAAGUUAAGCCUGAUCACGCCGAUGGUACUGCGUAAUAGUGGGAGAGUAGGUAGUCGCCGUUU